GGGUGAUGGACUGCCUUUUGCAUAAUGAGCCUGCGAGUUGUGGUGUCUGGCAAGGUUAAGCCAAGUGCGAAGCCGUAGCGAAAGCGAGUCUUAAUAGGGCGAAAUAGUCAGAUGCUGCAGACCCGAAACGAAGUGAUCUAUCCAUGAGCAGGUUGAAGCUGGUGUAAGAGCCAGUGGAGGACCGAACCCGCUGACGUUGAAAAGUCUUGGGAUGACUUGUGGAUAGGGGUGAAAGGCCAAUCAAACUUCGUGAUAGCUGGUUCUCUCCGAAAUAUAUUUAGGUAUAGCCUUGUGUUGUAGCAUAUAGGGGUAGAGCACUGUUAUGGCUAGGGGGUCAUUGAGACUUACCAAACCAUUGCAAACUCCGAAUACCAAAGAGUGCGAGCGUGGGAGACAGACAUCGGGUGCUAACGUCCGGUGUCAAAAGGAACAACCAGACCUCAGCUAAGGUCCCAA
rnacentral:rRNA from 1 species